UUUUAUGUGUGUAUGUGUCUACUUUGCUCUUUUCCAUCUCCAUAGAUUCGAUUUUGGACUCUACUCCUAUCCUUUAAGCGAACCCUCUUCUAAUUGGAUGCACAUAACAAACAGAAGGAUUAAACAGGAGGAUUCUCGGUGGGCCUGUAAAAGAGCUUUAAUGGAGACGAAUAUAAAUCUGCAAGUGACAAACUCCAGUUGCACCACAGUGGGGGCUGGUGUAUACAUUGUGAACUGCUGCAUUGUAAAACCAGGACCUCCAAGACUUGUGUGCCCCCUGCGACUCGCGCUGGCACUGCCGCGAGACCCCACCACUUUACAGUCUGAACCACAAUACACAAAGCAAGGAGCUUUAUUAAAGUCUAGAUUGAAGGGGAACACCAGCAGGCCAACGCUCCCUGGAAGACUUUCCUUUAGAGUGGCCACCAGAGCUUAGGCUGGCAGAGGCUGCGCUGUCCCCCACAUCAGCUUUUAAAGAGUUUCACAGACAAACGUUUAUAGAGAUUUAUUGACGCUUUUAUCUGCACGGAAUCAAACUUUCUGUUCAUUUUUCAUAUUUUAUUAAUUGUUUUUGGCAAAUGGGCAGCAUGCAGGCCUGGUGGUUGAGACAUGUAAUGUAAAACUUCCAGGGAUGUCAGAAGCCAUUUUCAUAUCCAACAAAAUUCUCCAACGUAACAACACGAACUAAAUCCCAGCAAAAUAUUAACAGAAAAAAACAAAACAAAAAAGUAGGCUUAAAAUACUUUUUUGUUUUUUAGAUAGUUCCCUCAGGAUUCCAGUUUUUAAAUUUAAUGAAAUGAAGUUUUUAAUGUGUCUAUCAAGGUGAAAAACAUGACAAUGACUGAAUUAGCUUUCAUAAUGAUUUUUAUUAGCAACAAAUGUGUGAAUAAACCUUGUUAUGGUUACAUUAAGUACUCAAAGCACUUGAUAGUGGUUUGGUUAUGUGUAGAUUUACAGCUAAAUCUCAGACCGUUGUCUGGUGGGUGUAUCUGAUAUCCCUGUGUUGUUGUUGCUCCAGCAUUAUCAUAAUGUUGGUCCAGGAUCAACACUCCAACUGAUGUCUUUGUAAUGUCAUAGCUUUGCAAUGUGGGGUUAAAAAGAAAAAAUAACAACAGUUGUUUAUGUAAAAAGCUCUUCUAGAACAAGUGAACAAAAGUAUUUUCUUUAUUAAUUUCUACAAUAUAAUAAAAACAUUCUCAAAUUAAGUUUGCUGUUAGCAAGAUUUAGGCUCCUUGUGUCGGUUCGCUAGUGAUAGUUUUUAAUAGCAACUACUUUAUUUGCUAACUUCUAGGCUAAUGCUAACUGAGUGCUCAGACAACAUCACUGGUCCUUUGCAAUGUUGAUAUUAUGAUGAUGUAUGAACAACACUUUUUAAACACAGAACUUUAAAAAAAAAAUCACAUCUCUCACAUGAAAGCCAGCACCAAACGAAUAAAUAGAUUAAACAAUAUAUAAUAAUAAAUAAAUACACUUCACACUGACGUACGCUGCAGAGAUACAGCAAUAUAAUAGUUAGUCAAUUCAGGAUAUUAGUCAGGCUACAUCCGAACCAAAAAGGGUUUGGCUACACAAAUCAUGGAUGAUAUCUUGACAAACAACAGAUUUAAUCCUAAGACUAUUUGAGGUGUACAACUACUUUAAAUUAAAUCCUUUAAUAACCAUCUCUUUCCAGUAUGAAGUGCCCUAAAGUCAUUUUUAUGCUUCAUGGAUGAAAUAACAAAGUCUCCAUAAUCCUCCGGGUCCAGUAUUCAUUCUUUCAAGAGUUUUAUUUAGAAGAAAGAAAAAAAAGUACGGGAACUUGGCUGUUCCUGAAGAAAAUUAGAUAAAAGAGAGCAAAAUCCUUGCCAAAGACUGAGGUGUAAAAAGGCUAUAUCAAACUGACAGGAAAGUACUGCAACGAUGAUGACGAUGUGGCUUUUAAAAGCCCAUGAUUGCUAAUUCCAGUCCUGAAAAUGUACCAAAUGUCCAUUGGGUGGCACUGCAAACACUUCCUCACCUUAAAAUGGAAGAUAAACUCACUUUUAACUGUUAAAACAACAGAUAGGGCUCGCUGGCUGCUGCACUGGAGGCUGCAAAUGUCCUUUGGAUUCCUCUUAGAAUAAUGGAAUGAUAGAUUUAACAGGCCCAGUUCCCAAAUUAAUAAUACUGUUCCACAUUGCAGAGCGUAUCGAAUCUGUCAGAUAGUUUUAACAGCUUUUCGGCUCCACCUUUUUCCAUUUUGCUCGAGUUGAAUUUGGCUCCCAGUUUUCCAUUCCCCAGCAGCUGUGUUUUGAGUCAUUUACAGCUCAGCUGACAUCGCUGUGUUAAAUAAU
rnacentral:lncRNA from 1 species